rnacentral:rRNA from 1 species
UAAAUUGUAUUGUUGUAUAAAAUUUAGAUUGAAGCUAAAAAAAAAUUUUUAUAAACUAGGAUUAGAUACCCUAUUAUUAAAUUUUAAAAGUUUAAAAACUUAAUUAGUAUUAGAUAUAUACUUAAAAUUUAAAAGAUUUGGCGGUAAUUUAAUCUUUUUAGAGGAACCUGUUUUAUAAUCGAUAAGCCACGAAAAAUCUUAUUUACUUAAGUUAAAGUUUUGUAUACCGUCAUUAUCAGAUAAUUUUUACAGAAAAAAUUAUUAAAAUUAAAAAUUUAGAAAAAUUAGACCAUGGUGCAGAUUAUAGGUAAGUAAAAAUGGGUUACAAUAAAUCAUUUUAAACGGAUUAAUAAAGGAAUUUUUAUUAUAAAGGAGGAUUUAAUUGUAUUAAGGGUUUAAUAAGCCUAAGAGAUAUUAGUUCUAAAUUAUGUACAUAUCGCCCGUCGCUUUCGUUUAUAAGU